ACACCAUGCAGAGGAAACUUCUGCAGUAAUUCCUUGAAUCUUUAUCAUGCUACAUACAAGCUUUCAUCCUCUAUUUUCUUGAAUGAAUUUAGAUCAUUUCGAAGUUU